rnacentral:rRNA from 1 species
GACGAACGCUGGCGGCGUGCUUAACACAUGCAAGUCGAACGGAAAGGCCCUGCUUUUGUGGGGUGCUCGAGUGGCGAACGGGUGAGUAACACGUGAGUAACCUGCCCUUGACUUUGGGAUAACUUCAGGAAACUGGGGCUAAUACCGGAUAGGAGCUCCUGCUGCAUGGUGGGGGUUGGAAAGUUUCGGCGGUUGGGGAUGGACUCGCGGCUUAUCAGCUUGUUGGUGGGGUAGUGGCUUACCAAGGCUUUGACGGGUAGCCGGCCUGAGAGGGUGACCGGCCACAUUGGGACUGAGAUACGGCCCAGACUCCUACGGGAGGCAGCAGUGGGGAAUAUUGCACAAUGGGCGGAAGCCUGAUGCAGCAACGCCGCGUGCGGGAUGACGGCCUUCGGGUUGUAAACCGCUUUCGCCUGUGACGAAGCGUGAGUGACGGUAAUGGGUAAAGAAGCACCGGCUAACUACGUGCCAGCAGCCGCGGUGAUACGUAGGGUGCGAGCGUUGUCCGGAUUUAUUGGGCGUAAAGGGCUCGUAGGUGGUUGAUCGCGUCGGAAGUGUAAUCUUGGGGCUUAACCCUGAGCGUGCUUUCGAUACGGGUUGACUUGAGGAAGGUAGGGGAGAAUGGAAUUCCUGGUGGAGCGGUGGAAUGCGCAGAUAUCAGGAGGAACACCAGUGGCGAAGGCGGUUCUCUGGGCCUUUCCUGACGCUGAGGAGCGAAAGCGUGGGGAGCGAACAGGCUUAGAUACCCUGGUAGUCCACGCUGUAAACGGUGGGUACUAGGUGUGGGGUCCAUUCCACGGGUUCCGUGCCGUAGCUAACGCUUUAAGUACCCCGCCUGGGGAGUACGGCCGCAAGGCUAAAACUCAAAGGAAUUGACGGGGCCCCGCACAAGCGGCGGAGCAUGCGGAUUAAUUCGAUGCAACGCGUAGAACCUUACCUGGGUUUGACAUGGAUCGGGAGUGCUCAGAGAUGGGUGUGCCUCUUUUGGGGUCGGUUCACAGGUGGUGCAUGGCUGUCGUCAGCUCGUGUCGUGAGAUGUUGGGUUAAGUCCCGCAACGAGCGCAACCCUUGUUCACUGUUGCCAGCACGUUAUGGUGGGGACUCAGUGGAGACCGCCGGGGUCAACUCGGAGGAAGGUGGGGAUGACGUCAAGUCAUCAUGCCCCUUAUGUCCAGGGCUUCACGCAUGCUACAAUGGCUGGUACAGAGAGUGGCGAGCCUGUGAGGGUGAGCGAAUCUCGGAAAGUCGGUCUCAGUUCGGAUUGGGGUCUGCAACUCGACCUCAUGAAGUCGGAGUCGCUAGUAAUCGCAGAUCAGCAACGCUGCGGUGAAUACGUUCCCGG